rnacentral:rRNA from 1 species
GAUGAACGCUGGCGGCGUGCCUAAUACAUGCAAGUCGAGCGAACAGACGAGGAGCUUGCUCCUCUGACGUUAGCGGCGGACGGGUGAGUAACACGUGGAUAACCUACCUAUAAGACUGGGAUAACUUCGGGAAACCGGAGCUAAUACCGCAUAAUAUAUUGAACCGCAUGGUUCAAUAGUGAAAGACGGUUUUGCUGUCACUUAUAGAUGGAUCCGCGCCGCAUUAGCUAGUUGGUAAGGUAACGGCUUACCAAGGCAACGAUGCGUAGCCGACCUGAGAGGGUGAUCGGCCACACUGGAACUGAGACACGGUCCAGACGCCUACGGGAGGCAGCAGUAGGGAAUCUUCCGCAAUGGGCGAAAGCCUGACGGAGCAACGCCGCGUGAGUGAUGAAGGUCUUCGGAUCGUAAAACUCUGUUAUUAGGGAAGAACAAAUGUGUAAGUAACUAUGCACGUCUUGACGGUACCUAAUCAGAAAGCCACGGCUAACUACGUG